AGACCCCCUACUACGCCUAGGGUCCCCUAGGGGCCAGGCUCAUUGCUGUUUCCAUGGAGAUGUGUGCACUCUGACCCCAGUCUUUCUCUGUCCCAGGCCAAAUAAAGAGGGCUUCCAAGUGGAAAUGCAACUUGGGCUGCCCCUCCUCCCAUGCCCCAGGUGGCCUGCCUCCAAAAAGGGGUUGGGGGAAGGCCCAGAACCGAGGCAGAACCACUGAAGGACCUCCUACCCCCAAACUCCCCAGAACUGAUCAUUCUGCUUUCUAAACUGAAGAGUGACUGCCCCAGGCCUCCAGCUGAGGUCCCACCCAGGCAAAGGCCACUGGAAUUCUCUAGGAAUGCUCUUGGAUCCUUGGGCAGCUCUGUAAGGCUUUUCUAUUUACCUAGAGUCCCUAUCAGAUAAAAACUACACAGGACAGAAAUGUAGCUAAGAAUCCUCUUCUCACGAGUCCAGGCUCGGAGGCUUGAGGUAUCUGUCAGUGGGGUCCAGUUGUCACUUCCAGGUACAAACCACCGACCCAGAACAGCUGUAGACCCAUCUUUCACCAAAGAUGCUUCCAAGAGUGAAAAUUCAACCCAUCAGAGCGCUUGAGACAGCCAACACCCACUGGGUGUCAUUCAGAAAAACUACACCUUCCAGCUCUUAGAAAGGGUCUCGUAUGUGCCAUCCCAGACACACGAAGUAUGCUCACUCUUCUCAAGCACAUGGCCUGAACAGUGCAGGGCGCAGACAGGCCAAACAGCAAACUCCCUCGGUUUUCUUAAGGGAUAAUGGAGAAAGGCCUAUGAGAUGUGAGGAUACCCACCAGGCCACAAGAACAACUUAAGGCAUGUGUAUCCGUCCUACUGACAUCACUGCCAAUCAACCUGAGUUGGAGAAAGGGGCAAGAAACUGCAGCAAGCCGCAGCACACCAGUAGAAGUUUUUUGAUACAUGAGUUGGAGUAUCAUAAGCUUUAAUCUGCAAAGGCAUCUCCAAGAUAGCCAACACAAGCUGUAAUAAAUGUGAAAUCUCAGAAUCAACACUUUUAAAACUCCCAUUGGAAUUUUGGGAAUGUGGAUUUUGCCCUUGUCUGAAGAGUCUACAUGAGGCUAAUUCUAAGGUAAAGAGAAUCAGAUUAAUUGCAUUGACAAAGGAAGUCUCAGAAAAGUCCAGCAUAGACUUUGCCCUUUGGUUUACUCUCAUGAAAAGCAUUCUGAUCAAGCAUAGCAAGCUUAAAAAAUAAAAACACAAAAUGUAUGGUUCAAUUAAUAAAGGGGCAUGAAGAUGGAGCUGAAUCCUAUGCUCAAGGAGAUAAAGGGAUCAAAGGAGUAGUGAUCUCAGGGCAAGAUCCCACCCAACUAAGCUUAUUGUUUGUGAUUGCAGUUGAACAAGGAAUAGUUUAGAUUUUUAAUAUGGAAUGAGCUCCAAUCCAAAAAAUGAUUGUGAUCUGUAUCCUGAGUCUGGAAGUCACAGGCUUUUGAUCUUGAGGAAUAGUGGCCAUGAAAAACUUAGGAUCAGGCAUGGUCGUAC